CAGCAAAUAGUUUAAAAAAAUAUUAAUUUUGGAGAUUAAAGAUGGUUAACUAUUAAUCUUUGCUGA
rnacentral:tRNA from 1 species